AAUUUUUGUUAGAAGAGUAAAUUAUAAAUUACCCUAUUAUUUACAUGCUAAACAUUGUAGCAAGUGUCAACCGAAGCAUAAGUAAAAGUAAAGCUUCUUCCAUUGUUUUUACAGUAUCAAGUAAACAAAGUGGAGAAACCAUCUCAAGGACAGUGCUCCACUGAAACCUGAGGUGAUUGGCUCAACGCUGCUUAUACAUAACCCAAAUAAAUAUGCAUA
rnacentral:misc_RNA from 1 species